AAUUAAUGGCAGAAGUCCCUUGAACUAUUUGAAGAUGUUAAUAGUAGUGAUGAGACAAAUUUUUGCCAAGUUUCUCUGCAAAAACUACACUUCAUAGACUCCAAUUGGAGAAAAAAAUAUUGCUCAACAAUACCUGGGUAAACAUAUGUGAAUUAGAGUUUCCAUCAGUUUCUGUUUCUGGGGAAAAGGCCCAGUUUCAACCUUGUCUUCCGAGGAAAAGUGUCUGUGCCUCACUCACCCCACAAUUCUGCUGUAUGAGGCCUUCUUUUUGCAAAAGCAGCAAGACAGCAACUGUAAAAUAUUACAUUCUGACAUAUUAUUUUAUACUAUAAAAUUUUGAGCACAAUCCCCAUUUUCCCCCCAGAAUGCACAUUUUUUCCAGAAUUCUAGCAGCAUUGCUGGCACAGAUGAUGCUUGGCGCAUCUACCACGGUUGCGCAAAUAAAAAAAAGUCUGUCUGACAUCAUUUACUGUGAUUCUUUAGAUGCAAGUGCAUUUGCCUAUUGAUACAAAGUGCAAAAGGAACCCCAGAGCUAAUGCCUGGUCAGGAGGUAAUAAUAGCUCCGGUAUCUUUAAUGAUAGUGACUUUAGAUUAAACUGAUUCUAGAGAUAGCUGCAGAACUGCUCUUGCAAAUAGUGCAAGAGCACUAAAAGGCAAAGAAAAAAAAACCUUGCUUCUUUGGUCAGCACUUCUUCCUCGAUGUGACUGCGGUGGAAGGGACAUCAGGCAAGGAAUGCCUUUGUGCCUCUCUCUGCCUGCCCCUUGUGAAUACAGAAUACUGCAUUGUAUUUGUGGGUGUAGGCAAAGGUACAGUAUUUGCAUUCCAAAAUGAAGUGUGAACAUCUUAAGCAAUUCUUCAAGGAAGACAGUGUGCAUAGCCAAAAACAAAACACUUUGCACACUGCCUUACUAAUAAUGGCUAACCCCUUGUAUGUUAAUGAUACUGAAAAAGUAUACUGAAUCCAUUUAUCUUUAAUAAUAUAAAUAGUUAUACCAUUUAAAGCUAUUUUGUCUGUUAUUGGUUGUUUUUGUAUGUAAAUCUCUACGUUCGUUGUAUACUCACAUUUUUGUACAGUGCUGCAGAAUAUAAUAUUUUUAAAUAAGUUAUAGUAAUAGUAAUAAUACAAAAUAUCUGUUUAUUUUCUUUUGAUAUUCACAGGUGUGCACCAGCCACGAAAACAACAGUGCAAUGAAACAGUUAUGUUGGAAAAUUUCCCAGAAUGUCAGAAAGGUUUUGAAGAAAACAUGCAAAGAGUAGAUCCGAACCAGUGGUGUAACCUGACAGAAUUCAUUAUGUAUUAUGAAAGAUUUUCUAAAUGCACGGAAGGAAAAGCUUUGGGUAAUGGUUGCUUUUGGCCAAACAGUUUGGCAGAAGAAUUUAUUACAGGGAUCCAUAAACAUUUUUUUUCAAACUGUACUUCAAAUAGAGUGACGUGGGAGGAUCCACCUGAUGCAAUUCUUACAACCCUUAUUUUGAUUCCUGUAUGUCUGAUGACAGCUAUGAUCUUCCUGGUAGUUUGGUUCAGCAAGAGAGGUGAUGUAUUUGGAUAAUUCUGCCUCUUGAAAGGCAGAAAAAAAAACCUGAAAAGACAUUUCUUAAAGCCGAAAUAAAAUCCAGCAUAUUGCAAUUUUUAUUAUAUUGCUUUUCUAAGGCAAAAUCAAGAUAAGCAUUGUCACAUUGUUGUCCAAAUAUAACAUGGGUGUUAAAUAAAUGACAAUUUUUUUUA